ensembl:misc_RNA Metazoa_SRP Metazoan signal recognition particle RNA
GCUGGGCUUGGUGGUGCGCGCCUGUAGUCCCAGCUCCUCGGGAGGCUGAGGUGGGAGGAUCGCUUGAGCCUGGGAGGUGGAGGUUGCAGUGAGCCGUGAUCACACCACUGCACUCCAGCCUGGGCAACAGAGUGAGACCCUAUCUCAA